rnacentral:rRNA from 1 species
CCUACGGGAGGCAGCAGUAGGGAAUCUUCCGCAAUGGGCGAAAGCCUGACGGAGCAACGCCGCGUGAGUGAUGAAGGUCUUCGGAUCGUAAAACUCUGUUAUUAGGGAAGAACAUACGUGUAAGUAACUGUGCACGUCUUGACGGUACCUAAUCAGAAAGCCACGGCUAACUACGUGCCAGCAGCCGCGGUAAUACGUAGGUGGCAAGCGUUAUCCGGAAUUAUUGGGCGUAAAGCGCGCGUAGGCGGUUUUUUAAGUCUGAUGUGAAAGCCACGGCUCAACCGUGGAGGGUCAUUGGAAACUGGAAAACUUGAGUGCAGAAGAGGAAAGUGGAAUUCCAUGUGUAGCGGUGAAAUGCGCAGAGAUAUGGAGGAACACCAGUGGCGAAGGCGACUUUCUGGUCUGUAACUGACGCUGAUGUGCGAAAGCGUGGGGAUCAAACAGGAUUAGAUACCCCUGUAGUC